rnacentral:rRNA from 1 species
AGCAGCUUGCUGCUUCGCUGACGAGUGGCGGACGGGUGAGUAAUGUCUGGGAAACUGCCUGAUGGAGGGGGAUAACUACUGGAAACGGUGGCUAAUACCGCAUAACGUCGCAAGACCAAAGAGGGGGACCUUCGGGCCUCUUGCCAUCAGAUGUGCCCAGAUGGGAUUAGCUAGUUGGUGAGGUAACGGCUCACCAAGGCGACGAUCCCUAGCUGGUCUGAGAGGAUGACCAGCCACACUGGAACUGAGACACGGUCCAGACUCCUACGGGAGGCAGCAGUGGGGAAUAUUGCACAAUGGGCGCAAGCCUGAUGCAGCCAUGCCGCGUGUAUGAAGAAGGCCUUCGGGUUGUAAAGUACUUUCAGCGGGGAGGAAGGUGUUGUGGUUAAUAACCGCAGCAAUUGACGUUACCCGCAGAAGAAGCACCGGCUAACUCCGUGCCAGCAGCCGCGGUAAUACGGAGGGUGCAAGCGUUAAUCGGAAUUACUGGGCGUAAAGCGCACGCAGGCGGUCUGUCAAGUCGGAUGUGAAAUCCCCGGGCUCAACCUGGGAACUGCAUUCGAAACUGGCAGGCUUGUGUCUUGUAGAGGGGGGUAGAAUUCCAGGUGUAGUGGUGAAAUGCGUAGAGAUCUGGAGGAAUACCGGUGGCGAAGGCGGCCCCCUGGACAAAGACUGACGCUCAGGUGCGAAAGCGUGGGGAGCAAA